rnacentral:rRNA from 1 species
GACGAACGCUGGCGGCGUGCCUAAUACAUGCAAGUCGAGCGAGCUGAAUUCAAAGAUUCCUUCGGGAUGAUUUGUUGGACGCUAGCGGCGGAUGGGUGAGUAACACGUGGGCAAUCUGCCCUAAAGACUGGGAUACCACUUGGAAACAGGUGCUAAUACCGGAUAACAACAUGAAUCGCAUGAUUCAAGUUUGAAAGGCGGCGUAAGCUGUCACUUUAGGAUGAGCCCGCGGCGCAUUAGCUAGUUGGUGGGGUAAAGGCCUACCAAGGCAAUGAUGCGUAGCCGAGUUGAGAGACUGAUCGGCCACAUUGGGACUGAGACACGGCCCAAACUCCUACGGGAGGCAGCAGUAGGGAAUCUUCCACAAUGGACGCAAGUCUGAUGGAGCAACGCCGCGUGAGUGAAGAAGGUUUUCGGAUCGUAAAGCUCUGUUGUUGGUGAAGAAGGAUAGAGGCAGUAACUGGUCUUUAUUUGACGGUAAUCAACCAGAAAGUCACGGCUAACUACGUGCCAGCAGCCGCGGUAAUACGUAGGUGGCAAGCGUUGUC